GCUUGGGCGGCACACGGUCAGCUCCUUCUGAAUUCCCCCAGGGCAGAAAUGCAGCAAGGGUAGGAGGUUGAGCGACUGGUGUGCUUGCCCAUUUUUU
rnacentral:SRP_RNA from 1 species